rnacentral:tRNA from 1 species
GGUCCCUUAUCGGGGCCAGUUUGGAGCCUGGUCUUUGUUUUUCCUCAUCUAAAAUGAGACUUCUAAGCAGGUUGUCGCAGGUUCGAGUCCUGCAGGGGUCGCCA